GGUGAACGCUGGCGGCGUGCUUAAGACAUGCAAGCCGAACGGCAGUCUUCGGACUGUAGUGGCGCACGGGUGAGUAACGCGUAACUGACCUACCCCAAAGUCGCGGAUAACGAUUCGAAAGAAUCGCUAAUACGUGAUGUGCUGUCAGAUUGUGUUCUGCCAGUAAAGAUUGAUUGCUUUGGGAUGGGGUUGCGUUCCAGCAGCUAGUUGGUGGGGUAAAGGCCCACCAAGGCGACGACGGAUAGCCGGCCUGAGUGGGUGGCCGGCCACAGGGGCACUGAGACACGGGUCCCACUCCUACGGGAGGCAGCAGUUAGGAAUCUUCCACAAUGGGCGAAAGCCUGAUGGAGCGACGCCGCGUGAGGGAUGAAGGUCUUCGGAUCGUAAACCUCUGAAUCAGGGACGAAAGACACUUCGGUGGGAUGACGGUACCUGAGUAAUAGCACCGGCUAACUCCGUGCCAGCCGCCGCCGUAAGAC
rnacentral:rRNA from 1 species